rnacentral:rRNA from 1 species
CCCUUAGAUGUCCUGGGCCGCACGCGCGCUACACUGAUGCAUGCAACGAGUUUAUAACCUUGGCCUGAAAGGUCUGGGUAAUCUUUUGAACGUGCAUCGUGAUAGGGAUAGAUUAUUGCAAUUGUUAAUCUUGAACGAGGAAUUCCUAGUAAACGCGAGUCAUCAGCUCGCGUUGAUUACGUCCCUGCCCUUUGUACACACCGCCCGUCGCUACUACCGAUUGAACGGUUUAGUGAGGGCCUCGGAUUGGUCUCGGCCCGCUCUUUACCGGGCGGCGCCGUUGGUCGAGAAGACGCUCGAACUUGAUCGUUUAGAGGAAGUAAAAGUCGUAACA